rnacentral:ncRNA from 1 species
UAAAUAUAUAACAUUGUACAAAUAAUAAACGAGAGAUGUAUUACUCAUGUCUGGGCGUAGUUGCGAAGGUUAAAAAGUGAGUCUAAGAGCGAUUUGAGGAUUAGGUUGAUGGCUUUAUCUAUUUAUGCAAAAUUUAGUUAAAAAGUUUUUGGGGCAGUUAUCAGGAUUGUAUAUUCAGUUAUUUGAGAUGCAGAAAUAGUCUGUAGCACUGACACAAUUUGUGCCAGCAGUCGCGGUUAUACAAAUAGUGCGAUUUAAUUUUAUCGGUGGCGGGUUAGUUUAACUAGUUAUUUAUUAGGAACGAUGAAAUUUCAAGGUGAAAUUUUAAUUUUAUUGGAAUAUUAUGAUGAUUGGGCGAGGCUUGAAAAUUUUUAUUUUAAACUAGGAUUAGAUACCCUAUUAUUAAAAACGUGGCUUUAAAAGCUUGAUUAGUACAAGUUAGGGUCUUGAAAAUCAAACAUUUUGGCGGUAUAUUAAUCCCUUCAGAGGAACCUGCCCUGUAAUUGAUAGUCCACGAUUUGCUUUACUUUUUUAUGUGCUUGUAUAUCGUCGUUGCUCCUAAUAUUUUUAAAAAAUUUUAAUGUUCUAGGGUUUUUACGGAAAAGUAAAUCAGAUCAAGGUGCAGCAUUUAAGAGGUGUGGUGGGUUACAAUAUAUUUAUGUAGGGACCCGGUAGUUAAAAGUUUCGGGGAAUUCGGAUUUGAUAGUAAUUUUAUCUAAUUAGUUAAUGUGGAUGGGGCUCUAAAAUAUGCACAUAUCGCCCGUCGCUUUCGUUAUUUAUGACGAAAUAAGUCGUAACAAAGCAGGUUUACUGGAAAGUGAUUCUGGAAUGGC